GGCCGCGGGAAUUCGAUUGGGGACCUUCGGGCCUUGCGCUAUCAGAUGAGCCUAGGUCGGAUUAGCUAGUUGGUGAGGUAAUGGCUCACCAAGGCGACGAUCCGUAACUGGUCUGAGAGGAUGAUCAGUCACACUGGAACUGAGACACGGUCCAGACUCCUACGGGAGGCAGCAGUGGGGAAUAUUGGACAAUGGGCGAAAGCCUGAUCCAGCCAUGCCGCGUGUGUGAAGAAGGUCUUCGGAUUGUAAAGCACUUUAAGUUGGGAGGAAGGGUUGUAGAUUAAUACUCUGCAAUUUUGACGUUACCGACAGAAUAAGCACCGGCUAACUCUGUG
rnacentral:rRNA from 1 species